rnacentral:rRNA from 1 species
GACGAACGCUGGCGGCGUGCUUAACACAUGCAAGUCGAACGAUGAAGCAGAGAAACGCGCACUUCGGUUCAAAUUUCACUUCGGAUUAGUGGCAGACGGGUGAGUAACGCGUGAGCAACCUACCUCUUACAAAGGGAUAGCCUCGGGAAACCGUGAUUAAUACCAUAUGACACAUUCAUAAGGCAUCUUAAGAAUGUUAAAGCUACGGCGGUAAGAGAUGGGCUCGCGUCCCAUUAGCUAGUUGGUGAGGUAACGGCCCACCAAGGCGACGAUGGGUAACCGGCCUGAGAGGGUGAACGGUCACAUUGGAACUGAGACACGGUCCAAACUCCUACGGGAGGCAGCAGUGGGGAAUAUUACACAAUGGAGGGAACUCUGAUGCAGCGACGCCGCGUGAGCGAUGAAGGAAUUCGUUUCGUAAAGCUCUGUUCUAUGGGAAGAAAAGGACUGUACCAUAGGAGAAAGCCCCGGCUAAAUACGUG